CUUUGGGGAAUGUUCAUCUCAUCUGAGCACAUCUGGAAGAUGCAGGUGUUUGGAUAUCAAAAUGAGAUCCUCGGCAUGCAGACACUUGGGGCAGUGUGCCCUGCUACAGGUCAUAAGUAAUAAAAUGGGAAGUGGUUAAACAUGCAUCUAUCGUCUAAGCAGUGUUAUCCAAGAGGAACCUUCGAAACAACAGCCCGAUCCACUGCAACCCAUUCUCAGACCUGCAACUGGAAAAUCAUCCUGGGCAAGGAAGUGGUGGGACUGAUAAGCAGCCAUCUCAGCCACAGCUCUGCUCACCCCUGGGAGAUGGCCGUUACAGCCAGGA